CCUACGGGGGGCAGCAGUGGGGAAUAUUGGACAAUGGGGGGAACCCUGAUCCAGCCAUGCCGCGUGUGUGAAGAAGGCCCUCGGGUUGUAAAGCACUUUCAGUGAGGAAGAACGCCUGGUGGUUAAUACCCAUCAGGAAAGACAUCACUCACAGAAGAAGCACCGGCUAACUCCGUGCCAGCAGCCGCGGUAAUACGGAGGGUGCGAGCGUUAAUCGGAAUUACUGGGCGUAAAGCGCGCGUAGGUGGCUUGAUAAGCCGGUUGUGAAAGCCCCGGGCUCAACCUGGGAACGGCAUCCGGAACUGUCAAGCUAGAGUGCAGGAGAGGAAGGUAGAAUUCCCGGUGUAGCGGUGAAAUGCGUAGAGCUCGGGAGGAAUACCAGUGGCGAAGGCGGCCUUCUGGACUGACACUGACACUGAGGUGCGAAAGCGUGGGUAGCAAACAGGAUUAGAUACCCUUGUAGUC
rnacentral:rRNA from 1 species